ACGAACGCUGGCGGCGUGCCUAAUACAUGCAAGUAGAACGCUGAAGAGAGGAGCUUGCUCUUCUUGGAUGAGUUGCGAACGGGUGAGUAACGCGUAGGUAACCUGCCUUGUAGCGGGGGAUAACUAUUGGAAACGAUAGCUAAUACCGCAUAACAAUGGAUGACACAUGUCAUUUAUUUGAAAGGGGCAAUUGCUCCACUACAAGAUGGACCUGCGUUGUAUUAGCUAGUAGGUGAGGUAACGGCUCACCUAGGCGACGAUACAUAGCCGACCUGAGAGGGUGAUCGGCCACACUGGGACUGAGACACGGCCCAGACUCCUACGGGAGGCAGCAGUAGGGAAUCUUCGGCAAUGGGGGCAACCCUGACCGAGCAACGCCGCGUGAGUGAAGAAGGUUUUCGGAUCGUAAAGCUCUGUUGUAAGUCAAGAACGAGUGUGAGAGUGGAAAGUUCACACUGUGACGGUAGCUGACCAGAAAGGGACGGCUAACUACGUG
rnacentral:rRNA from 1 species